rnacentral:rRNA from 1 species
UUAAGCGACUAAGCGUACACGGUGGAUGCCCUGGCAGUCAGAGGCGAUGAAGGACGUGCUAAUCUGCGAUAAGCGUCGGUAAGGUGAUAUGAACCGUUAUAACCGGCGAUUUCCGAAUGGGGAAACCCAGUGUGUUUCGACACACUAUCAUUAACUGAAUCCAUAGGUUAAUGAGGCGAACCGGGGGAACUGAAACAUCUAAGUACCCCGAGGAAAAGAAAUCAACCGAGAUUCCCCCAGUAGCGGCGAGCGAACGGGGAGCAGCCCAGAGCCUGAAUCAGUGUGUGUGUUAGUGGAAGCGUCUGGAAAGGCGCGCGAUACAGGGUGACAGCCCCGUACACAAAAAUGCACAUGCUGUGAGCUCGAUGAGUAGGGCGGGACACGUGGUAUCCUGUCUGAAUAUGGGGGGACCAUCCUCCAAGGCUAAAUACUCCUGACUGACCGAUAGUGAACCAGUACCGUGAGGGAAAGGCGAAAAGAACCCCGGCGAGGGGAGUGAAAAAGAACCUGAAACCGUGUACGUACAAGCAGUGGGAGCACGCUUCGGCGUGUGACUGCGUACCUUUUGUAUAAUGGGUCAGCGACUUAUAUUCUGUAGCAAGGUUAACCGAAUAGGGGAGCCGAAGGGAAACCGAGUCUUAACUGGGCGUUAAGUUGCAGGGUAUAGACCCGAAACCCGGUGAUCUAGCCAUGGGCAGGUUGAAGGUUGGGUAACACUAACUGGAGGACCGAACCGACUAAUGUUGAAAAAUUAGCGGAUGACUUGUGGCUGGGGGUGAAAGGCCAAUCAAACCGGGAGAUAGCUGGUUCUCCCCGAAAGCUAUUUAGGUAGCGCCUCGUGAACUCAUCUCCGGGGGUAGAGCACUGUUUCGGCAAGGGGGUCAUCCCGACUUACCAACCCGAUGCAAACUGCGAAUACCGGAGAAUGUUAUCACGGGAGACACACGGCGGGUGCUAACGUCCGUCGUGAAGAGGGAAACAACCCAGACCGCCAGCUAAGGUCCCAAAGUCAUGGUUAAGUGGGAAACGAUGUGGGAAGGCCCAGACAGCCAGGAUGUUGGCUUAGAAGCAGCCAUCAUUUAAAGAAAGCGUAAUAGCUCACUGGUCGAGUCGGCCUGCGCGGAAGAUGUAACGGGGCUAAACCAUGCACCGAAGCUGCGGCAGCGACACUAUGUGUUGUUGGGUAGGGGAGCGUUCUGUAAGCCUGUGAAGGUGUACUGUGAGGUAUGCUGGAGGUAUCAGAAGUGCGAAUGCUGACAUAAGUAACGAUAAAGCGGGUGAAAAGCCCGCUCGCCGGAAGACCAAGGGUUCCUGUCCAACGUUAAUCGGGGCAGGGUGAGUCGACCCCUAAGGCGAGGCCGAAAGGCGUAGUCGAUGGGAAACAGGUUAAUAUUCCUGUACUUGGUGUUACUGCGAAGGGGGGACGGAGAAGGCUAUGUUGGCCGGGCGACGGUUGUCCCGGUUUAAGCGUGUAGGCUGGUUUUCCAGGCAAAUCCGGAAAAUCAAGGCUGAGGCGUGAUGACGAGGCACUACGGUGCUGAAGCAACAAAUGCCCUGCUUCCAGGAAAAGCCUCUAAGCAUCAGGUAACAUCAAAUCGUACCCCAAACCGACACAGGUGGUCAGGUAGAGAAUACCAAGGCGCUUGAGAGAACUCGGGUGAAGGAACUAGGCAAAAUGGUGCCGUAACUUCGGGAGAAGGCACGCUGAUAUGUAGGUGAAGUCCCUCGCGGAUGGAGCUGAAAUCAGUCGAAGAUACCAGCUGGCUGCAACUGUUUAUUAAAAACACAGCACUGUGCAAACACGAAAGUGGACGUAUACGGUGUGACGCCUGCCCGGUGCCGGAAGGUUAAUUGAUGGGGUCAGCGCAAGCGAAGCUCUUGAUCGAAGCCCCGGUAAACGGCGGCCGUAACUAUAACGGUCCUAAGGUAGCGAAAUUCCUUGUCGGGUAAGUUCCGACCUGCACGAAUGGCGUAAUGAUGGCCAGGCUGUCUCCACCCGAGACUCAGUGAAAUUGAACUCGCUGUGAAGAUGCAGUGUACCCGCGGCAAGACGGAAAGACCCCGUGAACCUUUACUAUAGCUUGACACUGAACAUUGAGCCUUGAUGUGUAGGAUAGGUGGGAGGCUUGGAAGUGUGGACGCCAGUCUGCAUGGAGCCGACCUUGAAAUACCACCCUUUAAUGUUUGAUGUUCUAACGUUGACCCGUAAUCCGGGUUGCGGACAGUGUCUGGUGGGUAGUUUGACUGGGGCGGUCUCCUCCUAAAGAGUAACGGAGGAGCACGAAGGUUGGCUAAUCCUGGUCGGACAUCAGGAGGUUAGUGCAAUGGCAUAAGCCAGCUUGACUGCGAGCGUGACGGCGCGAGCAGGUGCGAAAGCAGGUCAUAGUGAUCCGGUGGUUCUGAAUGGAAGGGCCAUCGCUCAACGGAUAAAAGGUACUCCGGGGAUAACAGGCUGAUACCGCCCAAGAGUUCAUAUCGACGGCGGUGUUUGGCACCUCGAUGUCGGCUCAUCACAUCCUGGGGCUGAAGUAGGUCCCAAGGGUAUGGCUGUUCGCCAUUUAAAGUGGUACGCGAGCUGGGUUUAGAACGUCGUGAGACAGUUCGGUCCCUAUCUGCCGUGGGCGCUGGAGAACUGAGGGGGGCUGCUCCUAGUACGAGAGGACCGGAGUGGACGCAUCACUGGUGUUCGGGUUGUCAUGCCAAUGGCACUGCCCGGUAGCUAAAUGCGGAAGAGAUAAGUGCUGAAAGCAUCUAAGCACGAAACUUGCCCCGAGAUGAGUUCUCCCUGACCCUUUAAGGGUCCUGAAGGAACGUUGAAGACGACGACGUUGAUAGGCCGGGUGUGUAAGCGCAGCGAUGCGUUGAGCUAACCGGUACUAAUGAACCGUGAGGCUUAACCUU